rnacentral:lncRNA from 1 species
ACCUGAACAGCUCCUAAGAAGGUUUGUUUUGCUUUUGUUUGAUUUUAUUUUUCAUAUGUUAUCUACAUGCUUCACCUCUGUUCAGUGUUGACUCGUUGCUCUACAUCAUCCUCUGUCAGAUCUCACUGCAUGCCGAGUAGAAGCGUGUCACUUGGACCUCGGUUCAGGCAAAGAUUCUGGUCACUGGGAAGUUAACUGUCAACGAUUAAGGUCCUGUUUAGAAUCAACCCAGUUUUUAUCUUUUAGCUAGUAGAGAUUAGCUUCUUGGUUUUUAAAAAAUUAAGAAUCUAAUUUCUAUAAACUGAGUCAUAAACUGAUAUGUUGUGAACCACAUCAAUUUCUA